UUGAAAAUGUGGGAGAAAUUAGGUACAUAUAUGGAUAAAUACACUGUCCUAUAUAAAAGAGGGAUGCAUUUGCCAUUCUGGUAAGGUACAUUGUCUAUUGUAUAGGACAGGAAGCCAGAGUGGGGCCAUGGGAGAGGGCAAUACCUAGGGCAGCUGGACAUACAAAGAUCAGAGGUUAUCUAAGGACGGGGGGUUCAGCCAAAGGACCAAUUGAUGGAUUACAGACAUCAAUCACAUCACAGGAGACAAGUCUGUUUGAUCUUAGACAACCAUAUGAAGAGAAGGCAACCAGAACAGCUAGGCACCCUAAAGCUAAAGGAGAUGAAAGACACCAAAAGGGACACAUGGAGUUAAUUACAGGGUAUGAACACAGGCCACAGGAAAGGGGAAUGUAUAGUAUUUUUAGUAUAGCUGAGCAUGCUAAAAACAGAAGAGACACAUAGUCUGCUGACCCUAGAUAACACACAAACAGGAGAACGCAUUAAGCUGAGUGAAGGGUCAAAGCAAGGGUCUUGUCACCAUUAGGAUCUAAUGGAAAGCAGAUGGGGGCGUUAUUGGGCUGAACAAGCAGGAAGCACGGAUUGGGAUGUAACUUAAUUUGCAUAUGGGAGGGACUUAUAUGGUAGGUGUAUAACUCAGAGCGAGGGCUCUGAAAAAGUGUGUGUGUUCCGCGGACCGCUCCGGCUUAUGAUACUGUUGUAUUAAAAGUCUAUAUUGAUUUUCACAAAGUUCUUGGUUGUGUCAUAUUUGAACCGAUUUGCCACUACAUAAUUGGCGAGCUUGCCAGGAGAAUUAGGGACUGAAUAACGUUCUUGGCUGGCAGCGGGAUCUUUGGACGAUCUGGGCAAACAAGGGUGGCCACCCAGCUAAGGUAAGACAACAGUGAAAUGUUUGCGUAGAUCGCUUCAGAGAUCCUGCCUCAGCAAGAGGAGCGUCAAGUAGGUCUCUCUCUCUCAAAUUUCCUAAAAACUAUAGAAACGAAAGAACUUUUUGAAAUUCAAUGAAUUUGCAUGCAUGUGUGUAAGCUUGGAAAUUGUAUAAUGAAUGUGCAUGCAUGUCUAGUGAGUAAGUAGGUGGGAGCUGUGAACUUCGCUGGUGUAGGGUGUGUUAUUCUGGCAUGUUGGGGCUGGGAUUGGGCACAGGGUUACAGCUAUCUGCUUAUAAGGUUUGAAUAAAAUACGUAGUUAUAGAAGUCCUGCGAUACCGCUUCAAAAAUAUUUACCAGAAGGUCUGAAUGGGUAGGUUACUUUAUUGAUAAGUAAUCCUGCGAUACCGCUUCAAAAUAUUUAGCUGAAGGACUGAAUGGGUAGGCUACUUUAUUGAUAAGUAGAUAGAUAAACAUUCAUGGCUACCGCUUCAAGGAAAAGGUCUGUACGGAUGAGUAUUUAGAAAAUAAAUACACAUGGCUACCGCUUUGAAAUGAAGGUCUGUACGGGUGAAUAUUUAAAACACAGAAAGAACGCUGGCCUGAUUGUGCGACGUUCAACUGAAAAAGGAAAUCCUGCGAAUAUAAAACGCUCCGUCUAGCUAAACGGGGGUUUAUAAAUCAGUAGGUCGCGCCACGAUAUUGCUCUAACGUAGAAUAAAGAUCAAUACGGGGUGGAUGAAUAGGAUAUGAAGACAAGCUGAUCCGAUUAGACAGUAGUCUCGUCAUGUCGUAAAAAUCCUAUAGGAUAAUACCAGUUUAUGUAGAGGAAGUGUAUUAAACUAGGGGAUAAACUAUAGGUCGUUUUUAGGUAAAAACGAAGAGUAUGCGUGAAAAAUCCUAUAGGAUAAUACCAGCUUAUGUAGAGGAAGUGAAUUAAGUUAGGUAAUAAACUGUUUUGUUUUUAGGUAAAGACAAAAGGAUUGAAUGAAUGCUGUAAUAUAAUUAUUUGUGAUGAAUGAGCAGAUUAGAAAGAAGAGGAAGAACAGGCUGUGUGUCUGUGACCAACUGGGAAUGCGCAGGCCUCUCUGACAGUUAACUAAGUGAAAUUUGAGAAAGAGAGCGCAUUUAACUCUCACUGGGAAGAGGAACGAAAUCGAUAAAUAUUGGGCAAGAUAAGUUAUACAUAAGCAUAAAACAUUGACUGGAUAAUGAGUUAAAAGACCAUUGUAAAAAUUACAAUAGGUGUUAAAAAGAGGUAUUAAACAAGGCAUGGAUAGUAUAAAACGGAUGCGAAGUAGGAAGAAAUAACUUAAAAAUAUACAGAUAAACUAAAAUAUACUGGUUAAAAUAAAUCUAGGCAAAAGUGAGAAUUGCAUGAAAAUAGAAGUCUAGAACACAUUAAAAAUAUCACGAGCCCUGUAAACGAAAUAGGAGGCUGCAAUUUAAAAAUAGCCUCAGGAAUUAAACAGUAAAAUAGGCUAAGAGAGAAUAUAGCAAGCGGAUAAAUAAAGAGAUAAGAAAGUGCAGACAUUAUAAAUAAGCUGAAUUAGAAGGAAAAUUAUAUGAAAUAGGAUUUAAUACAUUGAAUAAAGUUAAAGUAAUAGUAUAAGCAAAGAUAAAAACACAGUGAUAUUUGAGGUGCUGUACUAGAAUAAGACAUUAAGGCUUCUGUAGUAUUCAGUAAUACAGUUGUAGACAUUAUAGAGUAGGUUUUAAUAGGAGGUAUUAAGUGAUGUGACUAAUAAAUUAUUAUUUGAGAAAGUAGGGUAGAUCUACCUUGGAAAAUAGUAAAUAAAGUAUAUAAUGCGAUGGGAGAGUUUAGGAAAAAUAAAUAGUGGCAUGGAAACAAAUGGACUGUUUCUCCCUGGAAUAUAGAGAUAGCGAAAUUUAAUAAAGCCAUAGAGUCGCUGAAAGAAGCGCACGUUAAUUCUACCAAUUCGAUUUGAAUAUGAAGGAGCGGUUUGCUACAAUGUAGGGCAACAUUACCCGGUAAACAGGAUAAAUAAAAUAAUGAAUUGGAACGAUCACAUACAACCAUAACAAGAAGCUUAACUUACCAGCGUUUUAAUGUUAAUUAACAUUAUAUCAUCAGAAAUACAUUACGAUGGGGGAAGUGUAAGAAGUUGUAGAGCAGGGCUAACUAGUGUGGGGGAAAAUUAGUGUAAGAUGACACUGGAAUGCGAUAGUAGAGAAUGCAGAAAUACAGGAAUUUACACCCGUUUUAAAAGAACAACAACUGAUCGUUCUAAGGUUAGUACGAAUGAAGUUUUCACCAAGCGGUGUAUAGUCUCUGAUUGAUCAAAAAGUGGUUCAUAGAGAGUACAGUUUAUGUGAUGAAAUACGUACUAGAUCACGUUUUACCUAACUUAUAGUAAGGUACCGAUGUAAUUUACAAAUAGCCCCACUCGGAGUCGUUUUGCAUUAAAAUGGCGGUUUCAGUGGUGAUAAAAUGCGUGGAGAAGUUGUUAUUAGCGUCAAAAUACGGAAAAUAAACGUAUAUGAAAAAUCACAAGCGUGGUAAAAAUAGUUAGAAGAAAAGCAAAUUGUAGAGUAUGGGUGUAUUCAAUUUCUGAUACAGAUGGCCGAGCAGGGGGGAAUUGUGCGUUCUGUGCAUGGCUGGAGCUUUUAUCGCAUGCUCGGGAUAAGUGAGGGGAUUUUAGUAUGUGUGUUACUGUUGGCUUGCUGAUUUAGAGGGUGGCAUGGUGAAUGUUAACGAAAUGUACAUUUCUUUUCCAGAAAAAAGGGGUUACAUUUUCAAUGGGUUUUUCAGUUCGGUUUCAAAUUGGGUAUGCAGAAGGAUGGAAGUGCUUUUGAAAGUGUGGUUAAGAUGUUUCUAAAGAAAAAAGAGUGAAAACAUUAUAAUGGUGUCGAAUGCCCUGAACUCUAAGAAUUUCCCGUGAAGACUGAUCAACUUCACUAGAAAUUUUUGGAAUAGGUGGGAUUUAAUUAUAAAAUGAUUGAGAAACACCAGUUUCUGUUCAAAGUGUAGAAUCACUUUGAAAUUCCAUUAUUUCCUUGGGAAAAAGAUGAAGUUGUAAUCUUGAAUUGACUAGUUAUUCAAAUAGGUUUAUUUUUAUUUAACAUGGGGUUAUAGGAGAACAUAUCAGUUCCCUGGGGUUAUGGUCUUUGGGUAAAUACAAAAUGUGCUUUGUUCAUUCUACAUAUAAAAUGGAAAUAUAUGUAAACAAGGGAUAACAGUUACUCCAAAUAGGUUAUUGGAGUGGGGGUUUCUGCAAGGGUUAUGAUGAUAACUACAUAAUCUGUAACUCAUCUGAGAGAUCGCCAGUAGAAUAAGGGAGUUAUCAUGGAAAUGUAAUGUCAGAAUGCAUUCAUGCUUGGGAGAGACUAUCAUAACACCAAGUGGGUGUGAAAUUUAUAAACAACAUUUAGUUAUGUUUUGGAUAUAGGACUGUUUAAAUUUAUUAGGCCUAGGGAAGCUCUGGAAACUAAUCCUGAGACAGGUUGAUUGACAGAACUAGCAGAAUAUUAAAUUAAAGGUUUUUGUUUCUUUUAUUUUACAAUAUCAUAGUAAUUGGAGUGAUACAUUGGAAUGACAUAAGUCAUUGAAUAAAAAGUAUAGUCUGUUGUGUGAUAACACCCAAGGAUGAAGAAGACAUUACAAAUAGUGGUAAUUUAUUGCAAAUAUGCAGUCAUUAUAAUUUACUUUACCAUUUUUCUUGUUUGGUCAAUUUAUUUUUGGUUUGAGGAAAAUAAGAGUGUAUAUUUUUCCUGAGGAGGGACUGAUAUAUAUUGACUAAAAAUGAUUUGAGAAUGUUUAAGUAUGUAUCAAACUAUGGAAGGAAAUUAGGAGUAGUGACUUAUGUGUUAUGGGUUAGAAAAACUGUAACUACAUUGGGGGCUCAUAUAUGAAGGUUAUGGUAACAAGAGGGGGGUGUUAUUUCUAGAAACAGUGUAUAUUGAUAGACAAGAUAAUUCACAGAAAAGGAAGGACAGUUGGUUUUGUAAAAAUAUAGGGACAAUUCUAAAAGUAAAUAGAACAUUACACAUACCUAGAUUAUGGUAAAAGUGAUAAGUAGUGGCAUUUUGAACACUAGAGCAAAAGUUUAAGAAGCUUAGGAUUUAGUUUUGUUAGGAUUGGAUAUUCUUUCAACUGGAAGACACUUGACUGAUUACAUGUUAUUCUUGCAGCAGUUACGGUAGGGACCAUAAUUUGGCUAUCAUUAUGAAUAUUUUUGUGGCAAGAGGCCAGGUAUUUAAGACAGAAUGUUUACAUAGGGCUGUUAUUUAAAAAUUAAGAUUUAGUGAUCUUGCUCUCAGAAGAAAGUCUGUUGUCAGGAAAUAACCCAUGAGUUAGUAUGUAUGUUCCCAGGAAAAGACGCCAGAUGGAAGGGCAUGGGCUGAAUUCUGGAAACUGAGUGUACAUCAAGAUACACCGGGCUGGGGAUAUACUUCUUACAGCACCUGCAGUGGUAAAGAUUGUCAUGUCUCUCUAUGAUGGGUGCAUAAGUUUCACAAGAAGUAAGGUCCAGCUGAAUAAUGGGUGAGCUUGAAAACACCAUGACAGAGGACGUGAAACAAAACAAAAGAGAGGGAGAGAGAGACUAGAUUCUACUGUAGACAUACUGGGUUGAGUUUGGGGGUUAUUUGUUUUAUUUGAUAAUGUAUCAUGUGAAUAAGGAUAUAUGUUAGGGUAGUUGUACUCUAAACCACAUGUUGAAGGCUCAAUGUGGAAGCUCAUUCUGUGUUGAAUUACUUUAAGAAGGAAUAAUGUUGAUUAAGGUUAUGCACAUGUUUAUCAGUUGAAACAGAGCAGAUGGGGAACUAAGUAAAAAAUGACAUGGUUUGGGAACACCUCUCAGAACCUGCGGCCGAAAGGGGAAGACUGGAUGAAAGCACGAGGAAGCCAAUUAGGGCCUCCAUUUUUGUGGAGUCCAGCAGAAAAGUAUCCUGGAGGCAUAGAGUCAGUCUUAUGUUUAGGAAACCAGAUGGAGAAGGGUUCUCCAGCUUCAGCUGGAAUGUCAGUUUGUGUGAUGAGUGAUGGAAGUAAGAGAAUGUAUGGUGUAAUCAUAGAACAGAGGCCAUAAGUCUCUAAGUAUGAAUGCCCCAUAGAAAGAAGGCAGAAAUCUGAACCAGGAUGAGAGGUUCCACAUCUGAUGAUCCAAGGGGACCAGAAGGAUCUCUCCCAGUGAUACCAGGAGAUCGAGUCUACGUUUGAGUGUUCCGAAGGAAGUGGGAUCAGCCGAGGAGGGAAGGACCCUACGAGGUGGCAACAGCCACAAACACGACCGUCCAAGUGAAAGGAAGCAAGACGUGGUAUCAUCUAAACCACUGCACCCGAGUCCCGACGGAGAGAAGGACACAACCAUACAGAGAUGAGGACACAGAGGAUGCUGAUUCACCAGAAGGGACCCCGGAGGGAGCAGGAGCAGCGGAAUCGAUCAAAGCGCCGGGGAGGAAUCAAGAAAAUGGCAGACCAGAUACAACGAGUGCAUCAGCUAACACACUCAGAAGAACCAACCAGGGAAAAAGAGCCUGAAAAGAAAAGAGACAAACAACCAAAGUUUUCUCCAGUAUGGCCAGAAAGCCCAGAAGUGGGAGGGGGUAACAUGUCUGCCACUCCUGAUGAUAUACCUGUUGGGGCAGACCUCUUGGACAGAAGCCCUCUACAGUGGGACCCCGAGGUAUUGCCUAAAGAAUGUGAACAUCUCUUCCCUGAAAUGGUCACCUUCCAGAUGGAAGCACAGUCCGGCCUGAGGAGGGAGCCUCAGGGGAAGACAGAGGAGGAGAGGCCUCACAGGAACAGAAGGAGAGACCCCGCAAAGAGGAGGAAAAGUCCAGCAAGCUACAGAAAAUGGGGAUUUCCCCAAAAUUGACUUUUCAGCUCUUGAAUUGUCUCCUUAACAGACACUUGAAGUUAGAGCCACAGAAGAACAAUGAUAUUGACAUAACAGAAGUAACAGUGAACGCUAGUAUAGCAACAACAGACUCACGCACAAUCAAGAUGUAGGGUGGAAACAGGAAGAGAAGAGAGGAACCAGUCAAACAACCUAAAAAGACUGACAAGGUUAGAAUCUCUGUCCCACCUCAACAUAUAACUGAAACAGAAGAAGAGAAGACAAAAGGAUCAAACCCUUACCGGAGAUUGCAUUCGGUGGAUGGACAUAUCAUCGAACGAAGAGAGAAGUCAUUUGGGAUGUGACCUGACGUUAACCAAAGAAGUAGACGAGUGGGUGCUCACCAUGAAUCAGAUUGAACCAGUUGAAGGUGAAAUAACGAGAACAAGAUUGACCGAAGGGAGUAGCGCCUCAGUCAUUAGAAUUGGUCUUAUGCCAAUACCUAAACAGGGAGAGCCUGUGGUAGCUAGAAAGCAUCCGAACCAGGAGGGUUCUUUACUGACAUUUUGAACUUUUUGACUAACUUUAAUGACCUACCUCAAGAUAAGAACAUUGCAAAGAUGACAGACAGACAUACCAGACUCUGAACCACUCAAGGACACCACAUGAAAUGAAUAGUGAAGAAUGAGUGGUACGAUUAGGCUAAGUAUACAGCAGAAAUAAACAUAGGAGGGACAAUUGUAUUUUGUGUAGAAAAUCACCUUUGUCUGAUCUUUUGAUAGUACCUGAACCUGCAUCAUUUGAAGAAUGCGUUAAAUAUAAAAUGUUCAAUAUUCAGAGAAAAUACUACAUUCCCUUGUGUGACAUAGAAUGUAGGAUUGCUCGAGGGAGCACUAGAGGCAGAACCAUAUUAAAUUAGACUGGGUUGGGAGUUCAAGGCAAGAGAUGAAGUUAAAUCUGGAUUUGAAUCUUAAUUUUUGUGGAUAACAUCAAAUAAGAACUUAGAGUGGAUUAAUUACAUAUACUAUAACCAACAGAGAUUCAUUAACUAUACUGACUUGGCUUUAACGGCGUUGGGGGAAUAGGUACAGGAUACCAGUAAAAUGUCUUGCCAAAAUAGACAGGCUCUCAAUUGGCUUUUUGCAGAGAAGGGUGGAGUUUGUGUUAUGUUCGGGGAUGAUUGUUGCACCUUUAUUCCCAAUAACACUGUGCCUAAUGGAUCCCUUGCAAUCGCUAUGGCUAAACUUAAAGGUUUAAGAGAAAAGGUUAAGAAAAAUGCUGGGGUGGACUCUCAUGUUUGGGAUUGGUUGGACUUAGCAUUGGGGAAAUGGGGAGCCAUGUUUGCUAGGACGGCCUUUAUGCUGGAAGGGGGGUUAUUGGCUCUGGGUAUUGUAUUUUGUUGUGUUUUACCCUGGGUGAAAUCACUUGUGAUCCAGACAACGGUUAAACAGAUGUUUGUAAGUAGAGCUGACACUCCGGUGAUAGUUGAUCCUGUGCCGGGUAGGCCAGGCCACUAUACUGAUGAAAAUGGACAGUUAUGCUGUCAUUCCAAAUUCAUAAGAAAGUCAACUGAUGCAUAUCCACAAAAAGGGUCAUUUCCGUAGUAAGUACAAGAGGUGUUAUGUAAGGUCUACUUUUGCUCACGGCCUUGUGUUUUAGUAUGUUUUAUCAAAUGUUUUUAUAGGUAUAUCAAUGAAUAUAUCUGGUUUCUUUUAAUUAAAAGUUAGUUUUGCCUUCUAAAAUGCUAGGUUAUAUUUAAAAACAUGUAGGUAACAGUGGGAUAUCCCAGUUACAAGUGUCUACGGACCAUGUCCUUAAUCUUCUAACAGAAGUUGGUAUUGAUGGUAUCACGGUUGUUGGAGAGGUGUCUGAGAGGGAGAAUCAUGUGGAAAGCUUAAAUGUAGAAUGAUGUGUCAAUUUUAUUUUGUAACUGCAUGGAGGCCUAGUGUUUUCUCAUAUUCAAUUUAUUAUUUGAGUCAUUGCUUUAUUAUAUAUAUUUUUCUUUUUCGCGUAGCUGAGAACCUCAGACAAGGUUAUGUAUUUACAUGCUCAUGCUUUAACAAAAGAUAAUGUAUUAUUUUUUGUUUCUAUACCGAACUAGAUAUUUUACUCUUAUGAAAUACUAGAGAUGUUUGGUGUAGGUGAUUAGGAAGUUUUAUUUUUUAAUUAUUUUUUAUUUUUUAUUUAAAAAUAAUUUUUUGGGAUAAUCGACUGUUGAUAUUAUGUUCCAUAUAUGUCCUUUUUAAGUUUUUGGUGCUUAUUAAAGCACCAGAGGGGGGUUAUGUGGGAGAAAUUAGGUACAUAUAUGGAUAAAUACACUGUCCUAUAUAAAAGAGGGAUGCAUUUGCCAUUCUGGUAAGGUACAUUGUCUAUUGUAUAGGACAGGAAGCCAGAGUGGGGCCAUGGGAGAGGGCAAUACCUAGGGCAGCUGGACAUACAAAGAUCAGAGGUUAUCUAAGGACGGGGGGUUCAGCCAAAGGACCAAUUGAUGGAUUACAGACAUCAAUCACAUCACAGGAGACAAGUCUGUUUGAUCUUAGACAACCAUAUGAAGAGAAGGCAACCAGAACAGCUAGGCACCCUAAAGCUAAAGGAGAUGAAAGACACCAAAAGGGACACAUGGAGUUAAUUACAGGGUAUGAACACAGGCCACAGGAAAGGGGAAUGUAUAGUAUUUUUAGUAUAGCUGAGCAUGCUAAAAACAGAAGAGACACAUAGUCUGCUGACCCUAGAUAACACACAAACAGGAGAACGCAUUAAGCUGAGUGAAGGGUCAAAGCAAGGGUCUUGUCACCAUUAGGAUCUAAUGGAAAGCAGAUGGGGGCGUUAUUGGGCUGAACAAGCAGGAAGCACGGAUUGGGAUGUAACUUAAUUUGCAUAUGGGAGGGACUUAUAUGGUAGGUGUAUAACUCAGAGCGAGGGCUCUGAAAAAGUGUGUGUGUUCCGCGGACCGCUCCGGCUUAUGAUACUGUUGUAUUAAAAGUCUAUAUUGAUUUUCACAAA